GUGGGCGCUGGAGAACUGAGGGGGGCUGCUCCUAGUACGAGAGGACCGGAGUGGACGCAUCACUGGUGUUCGGGUUGUCAUGCCAAUGGCACUGCCCGGUAGCUAAAUGCGGAAGAGAUAAGUGCUGAAAGCAUCUAAGCACGAAACUUGCCCCGAGAUGAGUUCUCCCUGACUCCUUGAGAGUCCUGAAGGAACGUUGAAGACGACGACGUUGAUAGGCCGGGUGUGUAAGCGCAGCGAUGCGUUGAGCUAACCGGUACUAAUGAACCGUGAGGCUUAACCUUACAACGCCGAAGGUGUUU
rnacentral:rRNA from 2 species